rnacentral:rRNA from 1 species
ACCCGGCUACAUGAAGCUGGAAUCGCUAGUAAUCGCAGAUCAGAAUGCUGCGGUGAAUACGUUCCCGGGUCUUGUACACACCGCCCGUCACACCAUGGGAGCCGGGAAUGCCCGAAGUCGGUGACCCAACCGUAAGGAGGGAGCCGCCGAAGGCAGGCCUGGUAACUGGGGUGAAGUCGUAACAAGGUACC